rnacentral:rRNA from 1 species
GACGAACGCUGGCGGCGUGCUUAACACAUGCAAGUCGAACGGUGACCCUCGGAGCUUGCUUCGGGGUGAACAGUGGCGAACGGGUGAGUAACACGUGAGUAACCUGCCCCUGACUCUGGAAUAAGCGCUGGAAACGGCGUCUAAUACCGGAUACGACACGCCUCCGCAUGGGGAGCGUGUGGAAAGUUUUUCGGUCUGGGAUGGACUCGCGGCCUAUCAGCUUGUUGGUGAGGUAAUGGCUCACCAAGGCGAUGACGGGUAGCCGGCCUGAGAGGGCGACCGGCCACACUGGGACUGAGACACGGCCCAGACUCCUACGGGAGGCAGCAGUGGGGAAUAUUGCACAAUGGGCGAAAGCCUGAUGCAGCGACGCCGCGUGAGGGAUGACGGCCUUCGGGUUGUAAACCUCUUUCAGCAGGGAAGAAGCGAAAGUGACGGUAUCUGCAGAAGAAGCACCGGCUAACUACGUGCCAGCAGCCACAGUAAUAC